GGAGAGGUGUCUGAGUGGUCGAAAGAGCUUGAUUCGAAAUCAAGUGUACGGUUCUCCCGUACCGUGGGUUCGAAUCCCACCCUCUCCGCCA
rnacentral:tRNA from 1 species